rnacentral:rRNA from 1 species
UGUAUGCUUCUCCUAAAGACUAAGCCAUGCAUGCCUUCGAAUACGAGGAAGCAAUUCUCUCUGAAUCUGCGAACGGCUCCGCAAACCAGUUGUAAACUAUAGCAAGCAAGCUCGUGCCCCCUCGGGGGCGCGGGCGACAUGGAUAACCCUGGUAAUUCUGAGGCUAAUACAAGAACGUACUCCCCGGCCGACUGGGCAACUGGAAGGUCGGGAGGUGUGUGAUUUGGCAUGAGGAAUGCUGGGAAUGGACACACGCCUGGACCGCGCCAAAGACAGAUGCGCCCCCCCCUCGGGGGGGGCGUGCCUGAGCGGCUCUUGCUUUGUGCUUCUGACCUAUCAACUAGAUGGCAGCGUAACGGACAUGCUAUGGUUACAACGGGUACAGAGGAUAAGGGUUCGAUCCUGGAAAGUGGGCCUGARARAUUGCUCAUACUUCUAAGGAAGGCAGCAGGCGCGCAACGUUCCCCUUGUGCAAUGCAUGAGGGCUUAGGGGACAUAUGAAUGCCUGCCCUUUGGGUGGGCAAUUCAAAUGGGUCUGUUGUAAACAGGCUYUCGAGUACCAAUUAGARGGNCAAGUUUGGUGCCAGYACNCCGCGGUAAUUCCAGCUCUAAUAGCAUACGUUAAAGUUGUUGCGGUUAAAACGCUCGUAGUCGGCUUCAGAUCAUCAGAUACCUGAUCUGCUAACCUGGGUCAGCUGCUCUUCGGGGCGCGCUGGGGGUGCGGUGAUGGAGGGCGGUGGUCAAGUGUGCCUUCGGCUGUCCUUCGGGUCACAGGGUUCAGUUUCGGCUGGGCUCGGCUGGGGGUACCACUUACCAUGAUUAAACUGGGUUGAUCAAGUAAGGUCAUUCGAUCUUGCACAGCACAGCAUGGGAUAAAUCUAGCUCGUUCGGUCCUUCCUCGUGGGGGCUGGGCGGGCAGAAGCGAUAGGGAUGUUCGAGGGUGACCGAAUUGCCGGGCGAGUGGUGAAAUACGUUGACCCUGGCAAGUCGACCAAAGGCGAAAGCAGUCAUCAAGGGCAUACCCGUUGAUCAAGAGCGAAAGUUAAGGGUUCGAAGACGAUCAGAUACCGUCGUAGUCUUAACUAUAAAUGAUACUGACCAGGGAUAGGACUCUGUCCAUCUCGACUCCUUCUGGACCUUGGAGAAAUUACAGUCUUUGAGUUCUGGGGGGAGUAUGGUCGCAAGGCUGAAACUUAAAGGAAUUGACGGAAGGGCACACAAAGAGUGGAACCUGCGGCUUAAUUUGACUCAACACGGGAAAACUCACCAGGUCCAGAUACACGUAUGAAAGACAAGCUGAAAGACUUUUCUCAAUGAUGUAAGUGGUGGUGCAUGGUCGUUCUUAGUUCGUGGAUUGAUUUGUCUGGUCUAUUCCGAUAACGAGCGAGACCCCUACGUUCCUAAUAGGGGCGGCAGCCCGGCUUUCCCCCUCGGGGGUCUGCUAGCAGCCGCCUAAUUAGCUUCUUAGACGUAUCAGAGCCGAUAAGGUUCUUGAAAUGGGUUAAUAACAGGUCAGUCAUGCCCUUAGAUGUUCUGGGCCGCACGCGCGUUACAAUGGUAUACAUUAGAACGUGCUCUUCAGGGCUUUUCCGCGGCCUACUGGUCGCGGUAAUCCCUAGUCUCUCCCUUGACUGGGCCAGACUAUUGCAAUUAUUGGUCUCCAACGAGGAAUUUUUAGUAGUCGCAGGUCAUUAACCUGCGACGAAUGCGUCCCUGCCCUUUGUACUAGUACCUGAAUCGAACCUCCUGACUGUGGCUUGCUUUUAACGGGGCUUGCUGUGGAUGGGGGGGGGGAACAAGACGGGAACGACAAGGGGCUCACAGGAAGGCUCGUAAAGGGCUUAUCCUAGUCCGGGGUGGGUGAAAGUGGGGUCGCUCCCCGCUGGAACUCCUCCAGUCUGCAGUAACAGGCGAGUGUCUCGUGCCCUUUUAGCGGGGGGCUACUUGGCACAGGGCAACACCAGAAGGCAAAAUGCGGGGAAGUCCAUCAACCAGCUCUUCAUCUACCAAGCAGGUGCUUGCAAAGGCCCUGUGGCCAGGGGUAACUCCCCUGGGUAUGGUAACAACGGUGUCGUAGCGGGCAACCUGCAGCCAAUCCCUUCUGUCUCUCCAAACCUCGUUUCUCGGGGUACGGGGGGGGCGGUAUGGGUACAGUUCACAGACCAAACGCCGGUGGGUGGGGGGUAUCUUGGGCAAUGGGGGGAGCAGUUUACCAACAGCAACCUUCAAAGUCUAGGGGUAAACCCUGCAUAAGACAUGGUCGUAAGAGGGAGAGCCACGCCUUGGAUUCAGCCCCUUCUCACGGGGGGGGGGUAGGACACAGGAAACGGGCUCUGUGGGGGCAUGUGGAGGCAGAGUAGGCAAGGCGUAAACGUUGUACACACCGCCCGUCGCUGCUACCGAUUGGGUUUUGCGGUUACGAGUUCGGAGGUCGUGGUCACUCGCCCGCAAGGGCGAUGGCUGCAGCUGAAGUCCUAAUUACCGCACGGCCUA